GAAGGAAUAAAAGAGAGAGGAGAGAAAAACAAAUGGGGGAAUGUGUGUUUUUUAUUCAUUUAUGCAAAAUGGGGGCUGUAUUUUAUUUUUUAUGAACCCAUUUAUAAUGUCCCUAUUAUACAUAU
rnacentral:ribozyme from 1 species